rnacentral:rRNA from 1 species
GACGAACGCUGGCGGCGUGCCUAAUACAUGCAAGUUGAGCGCUGAAGGUUGGUACUUGUACCAACUGGAUGAGCAGCGAACGGGUGAGUAACGCGUGGGGAAUCUGCCUUUGAGCGGGGGACAACAUUUGGAAACGAAUGCUAAUACCGCAUAAAAACUUUAAACACAAGUUUUAAGUUUGAAAGAUGCAAUUGCAUCACUCAAAGAUGAUCCCGCGUUGUAUUAGCUAGUUGGUGAGGUAAAGGCUCACCAAGGCGAUGAUACAUAGCCGACCUGAGAGGGUGAUCGGCCACAUUGGGACGGAGACACGGCCCAAACUCCUACGGGAGGCAGCAGUAGGGAAUCUUCGGCAAAGGACGAAAGUCUGACCGAGCAACGCCGCGUGAGUGAAGAAGGUUUUCGGAUCGUAAAACUCUGUUGGUAGAGAAGAAAGUUGGUGAGAGUGGAAAGCUCAUCAAGUGACGGUAACUACACAGAAAGGGACGGCUAACUACGUG